rnacentral:misc_RNA from 1 species
GAUGAAGAACGCAGCGAAAUGCGAUACUUGGUGUGAAUUGCAGAAUCCCGUGAACCAUCGAGUCUUUGAACGCAAGUUGCGCCCGAAGCCACUAGGCCGAGGGCACGCCUGCCUGGGCGUCACACGUCGUUGCCCCCCCCAUCUACUCCUUCGGGAUUGCGGGGGGCGGAUGAUGGCCUCCCGUGCGCCUAGCCGCGCGGUUGGCAUAAAUACCAAGUCCUCGGCGACGCACGCCACGACAAUCGGUGGUUGCGAAACCUCGGUUGCCCGUCGUGUGCGUUCGUCGCGCAUCGAGGGCUCGAAAAAAUGCUCGGCUCCGGCUCGGCUUUCAACGCGACCCCAGGUCAGGCGGGGUUACCCGCUGAAUUUAAGCAUAUCAAUAGCGGAGGA